rnacentral:snRNA from 1 species
AUACUUACCUGGACGGGGUCGAUGGGUGAACAAGAAGGCCCAUGGCCUAGGUUGGCGACCUCCAUUGCACAAGGGAGGGGUGCCCGCCUAACAUCUCCCCAAGUGGGAGAGUGUACGUCAUAAUUUGUGGUAGCGGGGGUACGCGUUCGCGCGGCCCCUA